GGGAGGGAGCAGGCGUUACCUUAUCCCGGGAAGCUAGUGAGCACUGUGCAAGAGGGAACUUGUGGGAAAGUAAACAGCAAAGGAGAAUUCAAUCUGUGCCCGGUCACUCGCAGCAGCCCUCGCUGGAAACUAUGAAGAUGAGUAGGCUGUAGCCGGCGGUGUGAUAACACGGGCCGCAGAGUUUAUGGGAGGAUUAAAGGGUCACCAGGGAGUUCCUGAAGCUUCUGCGAGGACAGCCUAAGGACAAGGAGUGAUCAUGUCGACUGUGAUGUCUGAGCAGCCCCAGAAGGAAGAUGAUGGAGAGGAAGAGGAGGAGGAUGAAAAGCAGGGCGAAGAAUUUGUGUUUGACAACACCUCGGAGGAGGAGAACCACACAGAGGAGGCCAAAAGAAAAACAGGAGAUACUGAAUUCUCAUCGAAAAUGGAAAAUAAUGAGACAUCAAAGUGCAAUUCGCAAACGCACUUGGAAAAUAACAUUAAAGAAGUUUGCAAUGCUGUUUCUCCUGCAGGACAGGAGGGGGCACCAGUGAAAGAUGUAGCAACCAUUCCAGUUUCAGAUGUUCCAGUUAGUGAGUCACCCAGCUGGUAAGUUGCAUCCUAAUUCCUCUCCCUCAGUAAUGUUGAUGUAGAUCUCCACAUAGUAUCCAUCAGUGUUAUGCCAGUGUUUGUCAUUAUGUCUGAGCUAAUGUCAUGCGACACUCCUCCAACAGCAGCACACCGAU
ensembl:lncRNA